CUACGGGAGGCAGCAGUGAGGAAUAUUGGUCAAUGGGCGAGAGCCUGAACCAGCCAUCCCGCGUGCAGGAUGACGGCCCUAUGGGUUGUAAACUGCUUUUCCAUACCAAGAAACCUGAUUACGUGUAAUUAGUUGCCGGUAGUAUGGGAAUAAGCAUCGGCUAACUCCGUGCCAGCAGCCGCGGUAAUACGGAGGAUGCAAGCGUUAUCCGGAUUCAUUGGGUUUAAAGGGUGCGCAGGUGGGCUUGUAAGUCAGUGGUGAAAUGUUGCCGCUUAACGGUAAAAUUGCCAUUGAUACUGCAAGUCUUGAAUAUAGUUGAGGUAGGCGGAAUGUGUUGUGUAGCGGUGAAAUGCAUAGAUAUGACACAGAACACCGAUUGCGAAGGCAGCUUACUAAGCUAUUAUUGACGCUGAGGCACGGAAGCGUGGGGAUCGAACAGGAUUAGAUACCCCAGUAGUC
rnacentral:rRNA from 1 species